rnacentral:rRNA from 1 species
AUGAAAUACUUAAGGAAGAAGUCUGAUAACCCAUGGUUCUGCGCGGGUGAUUUCAAUGAAAUCCUGGACGCAUCAGAACAAAUUGGUGGGAAUGUAAGAGAUGAAUGGAAGAUGGAUGGGUUCAGGGAUGCUGUGGAGGAAUGCAGGAUGGAUGAUUUGGGUUAUAUUGGCCUGCCAUAUACUUGGGAUAAUAGACAACAAGGCAUUGGCAAUAUAAAAGUUAGACUUGAUAGAGGUCUUGGUGAUGAUAAAUUUCAGGAACGUUUUGACAGUACAUCGGUGCAGCACAUACAGACUACGGAGUCAGACCAUUGUGCUUUGAUAAUUUCAGUACAAAAAUCAAUGUGGUUUGGCGGAGAUAAAAAAUCAAGACCUUUUCGUUUCGAAAAUGCCUGGACAAGACACGGAAAUUAUGACAAAGUGGUGACCCAAGCCUGGACUCCUCACAGUUGUAAUCUAGCUGAUGUGCAUGACUCACUGGCUGUUGUGAAGGGAAAUUUGCAGAGAUGGAGCAGAAAUGAAUCCGGUUCAGUACCAAAACAACUGAAAAUAUUAAGGGAGAAACUGGAGAAUGUUCGUGGCAGCUCUUUGGGGCAACGACCAUCUAGGCAAGAGAGAAAUUUAAUGCGAAGAAUCUCGGAAUUAAUAACUAGGGAAGAAAUGAUGGCUCGGCAAAGAUCACGGGUAAAUUGGAAGUUGAAAGGGGAAGUGCAUGCUUACUUUGUUCAUCCCACAUGGCUAUUGUUCAUAAUGCAGUAUUAG